UGCAGAUACAGCAAUGGAAGCAGAUGCU
rnacentral:piRNA from 1 species